GUGGGUAAGUACAAUGGACAGCAGAGAAGUGCUAUGCCGCCCACUGGCGUUUAGAGCCAGGUCCCCAAGGACCGCAUAGCACGCCCGUCGUCCUUAAGGGGUUAAACAAGAGUCCCCAACAGCCCAUCCACUCAGUGCUGCUUGGGCCAAUAAGGAAUAGUGAUGUACCGAACGGUUCGCCAGCGAACGGUUCCUGGCGAACAUAGCAUGUUCGCGUUCGCCACGGCGGGCGAACAUAUGCGCGGUUCGAC